rnacentral:rRNA from 1 species
GGUGAACGCUGGCGGCGUGCCUAAUACAUGCAAGUCGAGCGAACGGACGAGAAGCUUGCUUCUCUGAUGUUAGCGGCGGACGGGUGAGUAACACGUGGAUAACCUACCUAUAAGACUGGGAUAACUUCGGGAAACCGGAGCUAAUACCGGAUGAUAUUUUGAACCGCAUGGUUCAAAAGUAAAAGACGGUCUUGCUGUCACUUAUAGAUGGAUCCGCGCUGCAUUAGCUAGUUGGUAAGGUAACGGCUUACCAAGGCAACGAUGCAUAGCCGACCUGAGAGGGUGAUCGGCCACACUGGAACUGAGACACGGUCCAGACUCCUACGGGAGGCAGCAGUAGGGAAUCUUCCGCAAUGGGCGAAAGCCUGACGGAGCAACGCCGCGUGAGUGAUGAAGGUCUUCGGAUCGUAAAACUCUGUUAUUAGGGAAGAACAUAUGUGUAAGUAACUGUGCACAUCUUGACGGUACCUAAUCAGAAAGCCACGGCUAACUACGUG